AAGUGUGACAUCAGCGGUCAUGGAGAGUCUCCAUCCAGCUGGAUCACUGUCACAGAAAAACCUCCAACCACAUCUGUCCCUACCACCACAUCUCUACCCCCUGACCCCUCCCUCCAGCUUCUGAUCCGAGUGGUCCUCCGUGUGGUGGUGUUCUCUCCAUACUUCCUCUCCACUCUCCUCCUGGUGUCAUUAUAUCGAUGCAGAGCCAGAGAAAGCCAUCAAACUCUGACUGAACAGGAAUUGGAUGAUGGCUAUGAAUACAUUUGUGAUGUCAUCACACAGUAUCAACCCUGAAUUUCUCUUCUGAUGUUCCCAGCUGUGGUCAGAUCUGCUGCAUUUACUCGUUUUGUAUUUUGUUUUUUAUCACUUCAUGUUUAAAAGUGGAGAAGAACAUCUGCCAACACAGACAGCACAUCUGUUGUUUCUUGUGGUGUUUUCAAAACAUCAUCAGCUGCUUAUCAGCUACACACACCUGAUUCUUUCAGCUUUGAUACUCACUGUAAUGGUGACUGAUGAACUGCCAUGCAGUGUUAUGCAGUACCUUCUCAGGUCAUGCAUCUGUGUGAUGGCACAGGUCCAAACACGAGGCUGGAAGAUCCUGCCAGAUGUUUUCUACAUCAAUUUUCUACAUCAGUUAAAGUUAAAUUAAGCUGACCUUUUUUUCUUAAAGCAGUUCAUUUUACGAGUUUAAACAUUUGACGAUUUUAUUUUCUACAGUGAUUAAAAGUUGUGUUUCUGAGAUUUGCAAAUCAUUGCAUUAUGUGAUUCUUUAAAUUUUACACAGCAUCCUAUUUUUGGAAUUGGGAUUAUAAAACUGUUUUGGUUGCAGUUUUUGAUUAGAACUAAGUCUGUACUUAUGAAGCUACGAAGUCUCCAACAUGAAAAAAUUGUGAAAGGUGGUCAAAUUUUGAACCACCCUUUUUACUUUUAGCAUAUAUUGUUUUUUUAACAUAUACUGUGCCCUGCCACUGUGAGGCAAAGAAGCAAAGAGUAGUCACCAUAUCUAACUAGAAAUGAUCAUAAUUCCCAAUCCCGCUGGCAUCUGCUGUGGAAAAAUAAACUCACCAUUGAAACCAAAA